GCGUGGUGCAGUCUCCCAGUUGGUAGAGCAUGAGGCUCUUAAUCUCAGGGUCGUGGGCUCAAGCCCCACAUUGGGCU